UUUUUUAGUGCCUGAUCCAUAAGCUACUGAUCCGUAAGAUUACAUUUUAUUGUUUUCUGCUGCUGUCUCACUGCACACAGCGUAAGGAGAAGAGGAGAUGCUCUGGGACAUGGUCUCUUCCCUUUCCUCAGCCCCGUGGCUCCUUCCCUUUCCCUCCAAACCCACAACAGAAAGCAAGGAAGAGCCUCUGGGGUCUGCAGUGUAUGAAAACAGCAAGGGAGAGGCAGGAAGAGGCGCAGCAAAUGAUGGGCAGAGAUGAGGAGGAAGAGAUGAAGGCCUAAAACCAGCCAAUGGCAAGGGAAACAUGAGAAAUCAGGCACAGGAGUUGCUUCAGCCCUCACUAGUAGGUAUCAAUGGGAGAACUGAUCUGGCUUUCCAAUAGUGCUUUCAUGGAGAGUAUCUUGCAGCCCUGCAAGUGUUGUUCAGCCCAGUCGCCUCCUGAUUCCACAUGGGCUGGCAGCUGGACUAGCUGGUCAUCGGAAGUCCAACUGAAAUAUUCCAUUCCAUAUUCAAGGCCAGGCUAGAUGGGGCUUGGAGCAACCUGCUCUAGUGGAAGGUGUCCCUGCCUGUGGCAGGAGGUUGGAACUGGAUGCGCUUUGAGGCCCCUUCCAACCCAAACCAGCCUGUGAUUCUUUGUUCUUUGUAAUAAUAAAAUCAAAGACUCCACGAAGUUGGAAAAGACCUUUAAGAUCAUGAAGUCCAACCUUUACUCCAGCACUGCCAAGGCUACCACUAGACUACUGUGAUUUAUUUCGUGUCCCAGUUGGUUCACUGAUGGACAGAAAUUACAUCUCUCACGUCAGGAAGCUUCUGCAGUUUUAGAGAUGCAAUGAAAUGCGGCAGAGGAUUGGAACUGGAUGAUCUUUAAGGUCCCUUCCAACCCAAACCACCCUAUCAUUCUAGUCUAGUCUCGUAUAGUCUAUCCUAUCCUAUCCUUCUAUCCUAUCCUAUCCUAUCCUAUCCUAUCCUAUCCUAUCCUAUCCUACCCUGUCCUGUCCUAUCCUAUGCUAUGCUAUGUUAUUUUAUGCUAUUCUAUUUUAUUCUGUUCUGUUCUCUUCUGUUCUGUUCUGUCCUGUCCUGUUCUGUCCUGUCCUGUCCUGUUCUGUCCUGUCCUGUCCUGUUCUGUCCUGUUCUGUUCUGUUCUGUCCUGUCCUGUUCUGUUCUGUUCUGUCCUGUUUUCUAUUCCAUUCCAUUCCAAAAGGUUUUCUCCUAGCUCUCGUACAGUAGGUUGUGGCUGAGGACUGCUGCUCUUCUCCUCUUGGGGAUCAUUCCCAGAACCUCUUCGUUUCUGACUCGGCAGAGUCAAUACACAUUCUAGGAGCUAUUUGAGCAGCUCCUGUUUCAGGAGGCUGUAGAUGACGCUAACUGCUUCUCCCCAGGGAGCAUGGCUUUGAGCUGCCUCUCCCGCAGCUGUGUGGUCCAUCAAGGAGCAGCAUCCCAACAGCGGUGGCCUAAAAAAGAAAGGACAGAGGCAGCGUACCUCAGCGACGCUCCCCGGCCGAGAUCGCGCCCGAGCUCUCGC
rnacentral:lncRNA from 1 species